rnacentral:rRNA from 1 species
UCCAGACUCCUACGGGAGGCAGCAGUGGGGAAUAUUGCACAAUGGGGGGAACCCUGAUGCAGCGACGCCGCGUGGGUGAAGGAGUACUUCGGUACGUAAAGCCCUAUCAGCAGGAAAGAAAAUGACGGUACCUGACUAAGAAGCCCCGGCUAACUACGUGCCAGCAGCCGCGGGAAUACGUAGGGGGCAAGCGUUAUCCGGAUUUACUGGGUGUAAAGGGAGCGUAGACGGCAGUGCAAGUCCGGAGUGAAAGCCCGGGGCUCAACCCUGGGACUGCUCUGGAAACUGUAAAGCUGGAGUGCGGGAGGGGCAGGCGGAAUUCCUGGUGUAGCGGUGAAAUGCGUAGAUAUCAGGAGGAACACCGGCGGCGAAGGCGGCCUGCUGGACCGUAACUGACGUUGAGGCUCGAAAGCGUGGGGAGCAAACAGGAUUAGAUCCCCCCGUA